UCCAGGUAUCGAGCAGAAUCACGCUGUUAGGAAAAUAAUUGAGAAUAUGGACUAAAAUCCACAGGAUCACCUUCUGACCAAGAAACCUACAAACACAAGGACUGACACAAUCCCAGUUCACCUCCUGAAGUCAACCAUGCUGCCCUGAAUUGUAAAACUGGAAGCCAAUUAGUAUAUGGUGGCCUUGGGAAUAAUGGAGAAGAGCAAUAAAUGAGAGGACAACACAAAAAUAGAAAAUGAUCUAUGAAUUAGAAAGUCCAGGAGAAAAUGACUAAAAAGGCAUUGAUAUCCACGAUAAGAAGGGAGAAAAGAUAAGAUAAAGAGAGCACUCUGCUGCCCUUGAUGAGAUGAUCCAGACUAACUAUAUCCCAGGAAAGUGCAAGCACUUAAAAGAGGCGAGAUGAUACAGAAUGAAACGUCAGUUCUUCCCACUUUUGAAAAUCAUGAAUGUUUAGAGAUAUAAAUUUUCCUCUAACUACUGCUUUGGCUUCGCCCCCACAAGUUUUGGUAUGUUAUCUUAUUGUUGUCAUUUUCUUUAAUGAA